UGAGAAUGGCCAACAUUUUAU
rnacentral:piRNA from 1 species